rnacentral:rRNA from 1 species
UUAAAUUGAAGAGUUUGAUCAUGGCUCAGAUUGAACGCUGGCGGCAGGCCUAACACAUGCAAGUCGAACGGUAGCACAGAGGAGCUUGCUCCUUGG